GACAGAGGGUGCAAACGUUGCUCGGAAUCACUGGGCGUAAAGGGCGUGUAGGCGGGAAGAUAAGUCAGAUGUGAAAUCCCCAGGCUCAACCUGGGAACUGCAUUUGAAACUGUCCUUCUUGAGUGUCGGAGAGGAAAGUGGAAUUCCUGGUGUAGAGGUGAAAUUCGUAGAUAUCAGGAGGAACACCGGUGGCGAAGGCGGCUUUCUGGACGACUACUGACGCUGAGACGCGAAAGCGUGGGGAGCAAACAGG
rnacentral:misc_RNA from 1 species